UACGUAGGUGGCAAGCGUUGUCCGGAAUUAUUGGGCGUAAAGCGCGCGCAGGUGGUUUCUUAAGUCUGAUGUGAAAGCCCACGGCUUAACCGUGGAGGGUCAUUGGAAACUGGAAGACUUGAGUGCAGAAGAGGAAAGUGGAAUUCCAAGUGUAGCGGUGAAAUGCGUAGAGAUUUGGAGGAACACCAGUGGCGAAGGCGACUUUCUGGUCUGCAACUGACGCUGAGGCGCGAAAGCAUGGGGAGCAAACAGG
rnacentral:rRNA from 1 species